GCUGGGCGUGGUGGCGCAUGCCUGUAGUCCCAGCUACUCAGGAGGCUGAGGCAGGAGAAUCGCUUGAACCCAGGAGGUGGAGGUUGCAGUGAGCCCAGAUGGUGCCACUGCACUCCAGCCUGGGUGACAGAGUGAGACUCCAUCUCAA
rnacentral:SRP_RNA from 2 species